ensembl:lncRNA
UUCAUUCAACAACAUACACAAAUCUUUAGGGGUAUCAACCCCUAAAAAUAUUCCUUUUUCACAGAACUCUUUUGUGUGUAUCGUGUGCUUUGUGUUCUCGUCUGUUUGUGUCUGUCCUCCUUCUCUCUAGGAGGAGCUGCUGUAUAACCGAGCAGGGAAGCUGUGCGUGAUGUACAGGGAUCUUACUGGGAAUGAAGUAUAAAAGAGUUGUCUCUUCUGAUGUUGUGGGUCGGACGGAGCCUGGAGAGUAUCCCAAGGGACACAGGGCAGGGGACACCCUGGACAGGGGGACACAGACUAUCGCAGUGCACAAUCAUACACUAGAGAUGACAAUGAGCCUACAGCACAUGUCUUUGGACUGGGGGAGGAAACCAAAGUACACGGAGAAAACCCCUGAA